CCUACGGGGGGCAGCAGUGAGGAAUAUUGGUCAAUGGACGAGAGCCUGAACCAGCCAAGUAGCGUGAAGGAUGACUGCCCUAUGGGUUGUAAACUUCUUUUAUAAAGGAAUAAAGCGAGGCACGUGUGCCUUUUUGCAUGUACUUUAUGAAUAAGGAUCGGCUAACUCCGUGCCAGCAGCCGCGGUAAUACGGAGGAUCCGAGCGUUAUCCGGAUUUAUUGGGUUUAAAGGGAGCGUAGAUGGGUUGUUAAGUCAGUUGUGAAAGUUUGCGGCUCAACCGUAAAAUUGCAAUUGAUACUGGCAGCCUUGAGUACAGUUGAGGUAGGCGGAAUUCGUGGUGUAGCGGUGAAAUGCUUAGAUAUCACGAAGAACCCCGAUUGCGAAGGCAGCUUACUAAACUGUCACUGACAUUGAUGCUCGAAAGUGUGGGUAUCAAACAGGAUUAGAUACCCCAGUAGUC
rnacentral:rRNA from 1 species